AUACGGAGGAUGCGAGCGUUAUCCGGAUUUAUUAGGUUUAAAGGUUGUGUAGGCGGUAUUUUAAGUCAGUGGUGAAAUCUCGGAGCUUAACUUCGAAACUGCCAUUGAUACUGGAAUACUUGAGUAUAGUUGAGGUAGGCGGAAUAUGUAAUGUAGCGGUGAAAUGCAUAGAUAUUACAUAGAACACCGAUUGCGAAGGCAGCUUACUGAACUAUUACUGACGCUGAUGCACGAAAGCGUGGGGAGCGAACAGGAUUAGAAACCCCGGUAGUCC
rnacentral:rRNA from 1 species